rnacentral:rRNA from 1 species
GCCUACGGGAGGCAGCAGUGAGGAAUAUUGGUCAAUGGGCGCAAGCCUGAACCAGCCAAGUCGCGUGAGGGAUGACGGUCCUAUGGAUUGUAAACCUCUUUUGUCGGGGAGCAAGGCCCGCCACGUGUGGCGGGAAGGAGAGUACCCGGAGAAAAAGCAUCGGCUAACUCCGGGCCAGCAGCCGCGGUAAUACGGAGGAUGCGAGCGUUAUCCGGAUUUAUUGGGUUUAAAGGGUGCGCAGGCGGAUUUUUAAGUCAGCGGUCAAA